rnacentral:rRNA from 1 species
GAUGAACGCUAGCGGGAGGCUUAACACAUGCAAGUCGAGGGGCAGCAUAGGGUAGCAAUACUCUGAUGGCGACCGGCAAACGGGUGAGUAACGCGUAUGCAACCUACCCUGUACAGGGGGAUAACCCGGAGAAAUUCGGACUAAUAUCCCGUAAUAAUAUCCGGAGGCAUCUUUGGAUAUUUAAAGUUUCGACGGUACGGGAUGGGCAUGCGUAACAUUAGCUGGUUGGUAAGGUAACGGCUUACCAAGGCUAUGAUGUUUAGGGGUCCUGAGAGGGUGGUCCCCCACACUGGUACUGAGACACGGACCAGACUCCUACGGGAGGCAGCAGUGAGGAAUAUUGGUCAAUGGGCGCAAGCCUGAACCAGCCAUCCCGCGUGCAGGAAGACGGCCCUAUGGGUUGUAAACUGCUUUUCCAGGGAGAGAAACUUACGCACGUGUUGCGUGACUGACGGUACCUGGAAUAAGCAUCGGCUAACUCCGUG